CAUCGUGUUGAAGACCGAGAUCAACACGGUUCCUUCUUUUUUACAAAGAAGUUCUUUUCUGCUCUUUUGAUUGCUUUUAUUUCAGUAUUUCAGCCUCGUAGCAGCUUUUUCACUUUAACCAUUUAACCUUUUUCAAUAAAUAAAACCAAAUAAGACCGCUGCGGUUUUUGGACAUCCUGCAUCUUUGCACCUGAGGUCUCUCCAUCAACACUCAGGGAGUUAUGUGGAGGAUUCUCCUGAUGGUCAGUCUGCUCUGCUGGAGCGCUGAUGGACAAGUGAAAUGCAGAGACAACAACAACGGAGAAGUGGACUGGUACAUCAUCUACAAGGUACCCAAAGUUACAGAGAACAAAAAAACUACGGGUUUGGAAUAUCUUUACAUUGAUUCAAAAGGGAAGAAGGAGACCUUAGAUCAAAAUAAGCUCAUCGACGAUGCUAACGGUGUCCUGGCAAAAACCCUGAAGCCCCUUUUUACUAAA